rnacentral:lncRNA from 1 species
GGAUCAAAAAGAACUAUUGUCUCAUUAAAAACUUUCAUUUUAUUCAUACAUAUUACAUUACAAAUGUCCAUACAAAAUUUAAAAAAAAAUUGACUUUUGACCUAUAAUUGACUUUGGUCAAUUGUACUUUUUGGUCAACUAGUUGACCAAAAUCAACUCAUCUAAUCCCUAAAACUAAUGCCAAUGUUAAUUUUGUUUUCCUUGUGGUUCAUCUUCUUUUAAUUUCAUAGCCAAAUUUCAUUUUCUAUCCAAUAGCCAUGAUGUGCCAUGCCUUUUUUCCAAAUAUCCCGAUAGCAUACAAAUUUGCACAUCAUGAAGUCAGCCCUGCAGCACAAGAAUCCAAUGCAUCAUUAAUAACAAUUUUCAAACCAAUUACUCAUUGCAAGCAUCAUCGACAUCAAUAGCAUAACAUGGAUUGAUUACAAACAUUCCCUAGCACAUUAGAGUUCCAAACUAUCCCAUGACAAGUUCAUUAGCACAUCAAUUAAGUUCUCUUCUAGCAAUCCUCACAUCAAAACAAUUCAUCAGUAGCCUCACAUAUGCCAUUCAAUUAUACACAUACCAAUCAGAAUCAUACCUUCAAGCCAUGCUGCAGCCACAAGUCACACGUUGCAGAACCGAUACCAUUUCCUGCAACACACCAACAUACAAAUUCAUGAAUAACAAUCCAACAGGUUCCAACUUGAGAUGAUUUCUAAACAAUGCUAAAAUAUGCUAACAUAAAUUCAUCAGUUCAACUCAAAUAAGGAGAAUUACUAACCUAAUUUCACAACUGUUACACUCAUUAAAACACAAUCCCAAUUCCAUAACUCAUCUAACAGCAGCACGAUUAACAAGCAUACCAAAUUGAAAAAUGCAUAGCAAAAAAAAAACUAAAGCAUUUAACCUGCAGAAUUCUUUCCAACAGACAGAACUCCCUCAGCCCUUAUUACUUCCUACAUUAUUUCAUACUCAUAUCAUAAUGACCACUGCAGUAGCAUUUUCUAGCCACAUGGAUAUAUAGAGCAAGAAUUCACUAGCAUUGCAUUGUGUCUAAUCCAAGGUAUACAAUAAUAUCACAUACAAAUACAAUCAAUCAUCAUGCCAAGGUUCACAUAC